UACGUAGGGGGCAAGCGUUGUCCGGAAUCAUUGGGCGUAAAGCGCACGUAGGCGGCCCGGUAAGUCCGUUGUGAAAGUCAAGGGCUCAACCCUUGAAUGCCGGUGGAUACUGUCGGGCUAGAGUCCGGAAGAGGCGAGUGGAAUUCCUGGUGUAGCGGUGAAAUGCGCAGAUAUCAGGAGGAACACCAAUGGCGAAGGCAGCUCGCUGGGACGGUACUGACGCUGAGGCGCGAAAGCGUGGGGAGCAGACAGG
rnacentral:rRNA from 1 species